UCUCCGUAGGUGAACCUGCGGAGGGAUCAUUACACAAAUACGAAGGCGGGCUGGAACCUCUCGGGGUUACAGCCUUGCUGAAUUAUUCACCCUUGUCUUUUGCGUACUUCUUGUUUCCUUGGUGGGUUCGCCCACCACUAGGACAAACAUAAACCUUUUGUAAUUGCAAUCAGCGUCAGUAACAAAUUAAUAAUUACAACUUUCAACAACGGAUCUCUUGGUUCUGGCAUCGAUGAAGAACGCAGCGAAAUGCGAUAAGUAGUGUGAAUUGCAGAAUUCAGUGAAUCAUCGAAUCUUUGAACGCACAUUGCGCCCUUUGGUAUUCCAAAGGGCAUGCCUGUUCGAGCGUCAUUUGUACCCUCAAGCUUUGCUUGGUGUUGGGCGUCUUGUCUCUAGCUUUGCUGGAGACUCGCCUUAAAGUAAUUGGCAGCCGGCCUACUGGUUUCGGAGCGCAGCACAAGUCGCACUCUCUAUCAGCAAAGGUCUAGCAUCCAUUAAGCCUUUUUUUCAACUUUUGACCUCGGAUCAGGUAGGGAUACCCGCUGAACUUAAGCAUAUCA
rnacentral:rRNA from 1 species